GGGGAGAGAGGCAGAGAAGGGGGAGGGGAGAGAGGCAGAGGAAGGGGGAGGGGAGAGAGGCAGAGAAGGAGGAGGAGGGGAGAGAGGCAGAGAAGGGGGGGGGGAGAGAGGCAGAGAAGGAGGAGGGGAGAGAGGCAGAGAAGGAGGAGGGGAGAGAGGCAGAGGAAGGGAGGAGUUGUGGCAGGAAUAACCUUUUGGCUCUGAGGAGAAGGACCAUUGUUAAGUUCAGACUGUAAACAAACACCCUUUCCUCACUGAGGACCUACUAGAGCUGACGGUUAGAUCAUGAUCUAGGCUGAUAUGGGAUGAUUAGAUAAUGAUCUAGGCUGAUGUAGGAUGAUUAGAGAAUGAUCUAGGGUUAACCAGUACAAAGUUGACUAUCAUGGAUAUAUAUUUUUUUUAAAGAAAUGUCAAAUGUAAUAUUCUGCAGUUCUUGUUAUCUUUUCUUAAAGAAAGAAUAAUGAACAUGGAUUUAGUUGAGGUUUUUUUGACUAGUGGACAUAGUACCAUGUCUCAAAGCUGCUACCAGUAGGCUAACAGCUCAUGUUCACAUUCACAGAGUACCGGCAAGUAAAACUACAGGAAUAAAGAUUGUAAAGACAUUUUUGGUAACCAAAGGAAAAACUUGUUUUCUGUUGUGAACUGGAACAAAGUUGACUGGGAUUUUUCUUUCUUACUUUCAGGGGUAUAGUGUUGCCAGGGCUCAGAGAAGCUUUGCUCCCUCACUGAAAAACAAAUAUUGAGCUGGUUGAAACUAUUUAGUUAUUUUGAGCUGGACAAUGACCCAACACACCUCCCGGCAUUGUAAGGGCUAUUUGACCAAGAAGGAGAGUGAUGGAGUGCUGCAUCAGAUGACCUGGCCUCCACAAUCACCUGACCUCAACCCAAAUGAGAUGGUUUGGGAUGAGUUGGACUGCAGUGGGAAGGAAAAGCAGCCAACAAGUGCUCAGCAUAUGUGGGAACUCCUUCAAGACUGUUGGAAAAGCAUUCCAGGUGAAGCUGGUAGAGAGAAUGCCAAGAGUGUGCAAAGCUGUCAUCAAGGCAAAGGGGUGGCUAGUUAGAAAAAUAUAGAAUAUUACAUGUAUUUUGAUUUGUUUAAAACAAGAAUUUAAGCUUUCAGCCGAUAUAAGACACUUCUAUGUACCGACAUUUGUUGUUUCUCUAAAAUAUGUGAUAUUGAUAUAACGCGCUGCAUGAUUUACAACUGUCUCGUCGACGGAACGCAAAUCCUUAUUAAUAAACAAAUUAGACACAUUUAUGCCGAGCUAAAAAGGGUCCAAUCCAACUUAAUUUUAAGGGCUUGUAAGUUGCAUUUCAAGAUGGAGUAGCAGUCAGAUGUGUGUUUGUCUUGUCCUGUGUUAAUUAGUCUGUAAAUAGCCUGGGUUUUUUUUUCUCGUACAUUUGAAUCUACGAACUAAACAUACUUUCCUGCAACCAGCCUCACCCAAUGUGGUACUGAUCUGCUGUUUUGUUAUACCUCAUAACUGGAACCCACAUCAGAGGCUAGCCAGCAAACUAGCUACUAGUCAUUGUUUGCCACUGCUAGCGGUCUUCACCUUUAGCUAGGAAACUAGCCAGCUCUAGCUCGGACAAUUACCUGCCAGUCUGCACAGUGCGAUAUCAACCCAGAGCUUCCUAAAUUUGUUUUAUUCACUGCUUUAGCACACUCUGCCAACCUGGAUGUCCUAGCCUUGUAUGAAUCCUGGCUUAGGCAGGCCACAAAAAUUCUGAAAUCUCCAAUCUCCAUUCUCAAUCUCCAUCCAACUACAACAUUUUCCGUCAAGAUAGAACUGCCAAAAGGGGCGGAGUUGCAAUCUCCUGCAGAGAGAUAGCCUGCAGAGUUCUGUCUUACUAUCCAGGUUUGUGCCCAAACAGAUCGAGUAUCUACUUUUAAAAAUCCAUCCACGCCAGUUCGUAUAGUCUUUAGCCGUACCCUUAUCCUACUUCUCCUCUGUUCCUCUGGUGAUGUGGAGGUUAAUCCAGGUCCUGCAGUGCCUAGCUCCACUCCCACCCCACAGGCGCUCUCAUUUGUUGACUUCUGUAAACGUAAAAGCCUUGGUUUCAUGCAUGUUAACAUUAGAAGCCUACUCCCUACGUUUGUUUUACUCACUGCUUUAGCACACUCUGCCAACCCAGAUGUCUUAGCCGUGUCUGAAUCCUGGCUUAGGAAAACCACCAAAAACCUUGAAAUUUCCAUUCCUAACUAUAACGUUUUCCGCCAAGAUAGAACUACCAACGGGGGCGGUGUUGCAAUCUACUGCAAAGAUAGUAAUACAGAACUCUGCAGGCUAUCUAAGUCUGCACCCAAACAAUUUGAGCUUCUACUUCUAAAAAAUCACCUUUCCAGAAACAAGUCUCUUACUGUUGCCGCUUGCUAUAGACCUCCCUCUGCCCCCAGCUGUGCCCUUGAUACCAUAUGUGAAUUGAUUGCCCCCCAUCUAUCUUCUGAGCUCGUGCUACUAGGUGACCUAAACUGGGACAUGCUUAACACCCUGGCCAUCCUACAAACUAAGCUUGAUACCCUCAAUCUCACACAAAUUAUCAAUGAACCUACCAGGUACAACCCCAAAUCAGUAAACACGGGCACCCUCAUAGAUGUCAUCCUAACUAAUUCGCCCUCCAAAUACACCUCUGCUGUUUUCAAUCAAGAUCUCAGUGAUCACUGCCUCAUUGCCUGCAUCCGUAAUGGGUCUGCGACCAAACGAUCACCCCUAAUCACUGUCAAACGCUCCCUGAAACAUUUCUGCGAGCAGGCCUUUCUAAUCGACCUGGCCGUGGUAUCCUGGAAUAACAUUGACCUCAUCCUCAGUAGACCUCAGUAGAUGAUGCCUGGCUAUUCUUUAAAAGUGCCUUCAACACCAUCUUAAAUUAGCAUGCCCCUCUCAAAAAAAUUAGAACUAGGAAUAGAUAUAGUCCUUGGUUCACUCCAGACCUGUCUGCUCUUGACCAGCACAAAAACAUCCUGUGGCGUUCUGCAUUAGCAUCGAAUAGCCCCCGUGAUAUGCAACUUUUCAGGGAAGUUAGGAACAAAUAUACACAGGCA
ensembl:lncRNA